GGAGAGGUGGCCGAGCGGCUGAAGGCGCUCCCCUGCUAAGGGAGUAUGGGCUAACCCCCAUCGAGGGUUCGAAUCCCUCCCUCUCCGCCA
rnacentral:tRNA from 1 species